GGGUCUAUGAUGACUAACCAAUGUCAUGAAGAGAGAUGGUGACAGAAAAUUCAUGAUCAAUAGGAUUAUGCUGAGGCCC
ensembl:snoRNA SNORD115 Small nucleolar RNA SNORD115